GACGAACGCUGGCGGCGUGCCUAAUACAUGCAAGUCGAACGCAGUGGGGACGGGUGAGUAACACGUGGGUAACCUCCCAUCAGAGGGGAUAACACUUGGAAACAGGUGCUAAACCGAUACUGAUGGAUGGACCCGCGGUGCAUUAGCUAGUUGGUGAGGUAACGGCCCACCAAGGCCACGAUGCAUAGCCGACCUGAGAGAGGGAGCUGCGACACUGGGACUAAGACACGACCAAGACUCCUACGGUAAGCAGAAGUAGGGAAUCAUCGGCAAAAGACGAAAGUCUGACCGAGCAACGCCGCGUGAGUGAAGAAGGUUUUCGGAUCGUAAAACUCUGAUGUUAGAGAAGCGGUAUCUAACCGGAAAGCCACGGCUAACUACGUGCCAGCAGCCGCGAUAAUAC
rnacentral:rRNA from 1 species